AACGAACGCUGGCGGCAUGCCUAACACAUGCCAGUCGAACGAGACCUUCGGGUCUAGUGGCGCAAGGGUGCGUAACGCGCGGGAACCUGCCCUUAGGUUCGGAAUAACUCCCCGAAAGGGGUGCUAAUACCGGAUAAUGUCUUCGGACCAAAGAUUUAUCGCCUUUGGAUGGGCCCGCGUUGGAUUAGCUAGUUGGUAGGGUAAAAGCCUACCAAGGCGACGAUCCAUAGCUGGUCUGAGAGGAUGAUCAGCCGCACUGGGACUGAGACACGGCCCAGACUCCUACGGGAGGCAGCAGUGGGGAAUAUUGGACAAUGGGCGAAAGCCUGAUCCAGCAAUGCCGCGUGAGUGAUGAAGGCCUUAGGGUUGUAAAGCUCUUUUAACCGGGAUGAUAAUGACAGUACCGGGAGAAUAAGCGCCGGCUAACUCCGUG
rnacentral:rRNA from 1 species